rnacentral:rRNA from 1 species
UACAGAGGUCCCGAGCGUUGUUCGGAUUUAUUGGGCGUAAAGGGUGCGUAGGCGGCGGAGUAAGUUGGGUGUGAAAUCCCGAGGCUCAACCUCGGAAUUGCAUUCAAUACUGCUUCGCUCGAGUACUGGAGAGGAGGCUGGAAUUUACGGUGUAGCAGUGAAAUGCGUAGAUAUCGUAAGGAAGGCCGGUGGCGAAAGCGGCAUCCUGGACCGACAUUGACGCUGAACGGCGAAAGCUAGGGGAGCAAACGGG